rnacentral:rRNA from 1 species
AAAUGAAUUGACGGGGACCCGCACAAGCGGUGGAGCAUGUGGUUUAAUUCGAAGCAACGCGAAGAACCUUACCAAGUCUUGACAUCGGAAUGACAGCCCUAUAACUAGGGUCUCCCUACGGGGCAUUCCAGACAGGUGGUGCAUGGUUGUCGUCAGCUCGUGUCGUGAGAUGUUGGGUUAAGUCCCGCAACGAGCGCAACCCUUAUCCUUAGUAGCCAGCAAGUCAAGUUGGGCACUCUGGGGAGACUGCCAGGGAUAACCUGGAGGAAGGUGGGGAUGACGUCAAAUCAUCAUGCCCCUUAUGAUUUGGGCUACACACGUGCUACAAUGGCGUAAACAAAGGGAAGCAAAGGGGUGACCUGGAGCAAAUCCCAAAAAUAACGUCUCAGUUCGGAUUGUAGUCUGCAACUCGACUACAUGAAGCUGGAAUCGCUAGUAAUCGCGGAUCAGAAUGCCGCGGUGAAUACGUUCCCGGGUCUUGUACACACCGCCCGU